CACUCGAAACCCUAACCCUAAUUAGGUUACCACCAUGUCCAAGCGCAAGUUCGGUUUCGAGGGUUUCGGCAUCAACCGCCCAUCCACGUACUCCUUCGAGCGCUCCCAGGCCCCUCAGCGCCUCUCGCGCCCUCCCACGACCUUUCCGACGACCAAGACCUCAACGACAUCGCCUACGACAACCCCGACCCCCCCCUAUACCGCCCCAGAUGGUGAUGGAGAGAUCGACCCCCUUGACGCCUUCGUGGAGGGCAGCCACGAGGAGAUCCGCGAGUCACCUCCCCUCUCUGUUCAACCUAAGGAAAAGGGUGAGAGGUUUAAGGAUGAGGACGAGGAUGACCCUGUUGAGAGCUUUCUGAGAUCUAAGAAGGACAUUGGCUUGGCCUUGGCUUCAGAGGCCUUGCACGCUGGGUAUAAUUCGGAUGAGGAGGUCUAUGCUGCUGCCAAGGCUAUGGAUGCUAUCUUGGUUGAGUAUGAUUCGGAUGACAACCCAAUUGUUGUUGAUAAGCGGAAGAUUGAGCCGAUCCGGCUUUGGAUCGUAGUGCCAUUGAAUACGAACCCUUUAAUAAGGAUUUCUAUGAAGAAAAGCCCUCAAUUUCUAGGAUCAUGCUAGUGAGGUUUAGAGAAAGGAUGGAUUUGGACUCCUACGGUACGCUGUCAGGGUGAGAUGGAGGAGGUGGUGAGAAGCCUUGCAAGUGGGUUGGAAUUGGUUGCUUAGAUGGGAGAGUAGUGGAACUAUGUCAUUUUUGAGGAAAUUUAUGUGUAGAUUGGAUGGUGGAAUUGCAACAAUAUAGUGCAAAUAAGGCUGAUUGAAGCUCUGUUUCUGAGCUCACUGGCAUUAGCUAUGGCGGAUAUUGUUGUUGCCUAUUGGACCAAUUGCAGGGAGAGAAGGAAGCUUCUUCUUGUGUAUGGGAUCGACAUAGAAGGAGUAUAGGUCAUCAUCUAGGUCAAGAUCAGCUUAGUCGCUUCAGCACAAUGAAGAGUGGUUUGAUCGGAUGGAGAACUAUUUACCACAGGCGAUAAACGAGGAGGCACAAGAGAUCAUUGAAGGGUUGUGGGAGAAAGGCCGGAUGUUUACCGAGUUCAUCAUGGCUAAUGGUACCGUCACUGAAUGAUUGCGCAUUGCUUGUGUACUUGGAGAGGUUUGUGUAUUGUUGUUAUGCCUUAGUUCUCACAAUUGCUUGAUGGAUGGUGUUACUUGCAUCCAUACUAAUAUUGAGAACUGAAAAGUUUAGUAGAAUAUGAUGUGAAUAAUAAUAUGAAUCAUGAUGGACAUGGUUAUUUCUUGUUGUUUUUGAAUCAUUAUUCAUUUUGAGAAUUGCCAUUCUUUCAUGUGCACCACAGCCUCUAUGACAAUUGUUCAUGAGCUUUUCUUUAUUUUCUUAGAAUUGAAUUUUGCAACCACUUAUUAUGUUAGGAAAGAACUUCAUAGUUUUGAAAAGGUAAAUUCAUUGUAUGUUGUUGAUGCCACCAGAUAACUCAUGUAAGAAUAAUAUUGUGGAGGCCCUAGUGUUGUCUAUUGAUGGAUUGUGGGUUGUAACACUAAAGGACGUCAGCUCUUUCUAAUGUUUGUGGGCAUCAUUUUAUUUGAGAUAGUUUGCUCAAUCACUUAGUUAAAAUUUAUGUUGGGUUUACUGUUAAGUUCUCAUAUUUCUGCAAGGUUAUAUUACUGCAGAUCAGCCAAUAAAUGUUUCCAUUU